rnacentral:rRNA from 1 species
AAAUUGAAGAGUUUGAUCAUGGCUCAGAUUGAACGCUGGCGGCAGGCCUAACACAUGCAAGUCGAACGGUAACAGGAAGAAGCUUGCUUCUUUGCUGACGAGUGGCGGACGGGUGAGUAAUGUCUGGGAAACUGCCUGAUGGAGGGGGAUAACUACUGGAAACGGUAGCUAAUACCGCAUAAUGUCGCAAGACCAAAGAGGGGGACCUUCGGGCCUCUUGCCAUCGGAUGUGCCCAGAUGGGAUUAGCUAGUAGGUGGGGUAAAGGCUCACCUAGGCGACGAUCCCUAGCUGGUCUGAGAGGAUGACCAGCCACACUGGAACUGAGA